GCCAAAGCUUUAUAUGGGGGAGAGCUGCGCCUCUCAGAUGUGCGUCCCCCCACCUUAUCCGGAAACCUGAGCGUGUGUGUCGGCAGUGUGGUUUGGCGUGGCAGAAUUUGAUCCACGUGGCUGUCUUGAGACGCAGGUCGGCGCGUCUCCUCUGCUCACUUUGCCAGAGUUGGCCUGUACUCUGGCCGGGGGUUGGGAGUGCGUGGCCUCGGAGCCGUGCGCAAUAAUCCGCGCACCGUGUUGGGAACCCUCAGCUAUAAAGGUGGUUGGUUGGUGGCUAUCUCUCCUGUUGCCUGUGACGCUGCGCCCUCACUCACGGCAGGUGGCUCCUCCUCUGACGUGGGCCGCUGCGCUGCUGCUGCUGUUCUGUCCACCUGUUCUGUCUCGGGUUCACCCCAGCAAGCUUAUUGUUCUCUUACAUUUGUGUUUAUUGUUUUUCGUUGUUUUGUUUUUUUUGACAUCAUCAUUGUGUGUGUGCGCGGGUGUUUGGAGUUUCGCACGCCUGGAGUAAGUCAAUCUGGAUGAAACUCAAGUGUUGGCUGAACUGUAUGCAGUGCUGCUCAUGUGGAGGAAAUGAAUGCAGCAUAGGACUUAAAGCUACACCAAGAGGACUGAUCCACGUCAGCAAUCUAUUAGUAUUGGUUGAUUAUUGUUUCUUUGUAUUGUAAUUAGAUAAUUAUUUCGAUCAUUGGUGGAUUUUGUGACCGUUGUUGUUUUCUGUAGAUUUUUUUUUGUGUUUAGUUAUCCAGUUAUUUUUGCAUAGGUUUUGGUUUCUUUUUUUUUUUUUCGUUUAUUAUUUGUUUGUUAUAUCAACAAAAGCACAAUCAACCUUGGUGGAGACCUCCUGGGCCCGGCAUAGUGUGGUGUUGGGGCAGUUUCUGGCUUGGUUCUGUUUUUUUCUUGCCCCUUGCCUUGACUAAUAUCUGCCUCUUUUGUUGGACAGGAGCUGUUGGGCUGGUGUGGCGAGCGACUGACUGAUUCCUGCGGUGGCGGUCCCCUCACUUCCUGUACAGUAGUGCACAUGGGUGUCAGUUGAUGGUGUGUGGUUUCUUUUUUUCUUCACGUGUGGUGUGCCUCAUCAGGACCCUUCCCCUCCCCCUCAGUCGUCGCCGCCUGGUGAGCCCUCAGCCCCUUUACACAGCACAUGCCUUUUUUUUUUGGCAAACUUAACCAACCUGUCAAGAGGCCCCAGAGGAUUGUGCAAUAAUUUGCCUUUUGUUAUUAUUAUUGUAAUCUUGCUUGCAUCAUCACUGAGAUUGGUCAGCAUUUUAAAUUUUGAAAUAUCGUUAAUAAACUUUCUCUUUUAUAUUUUA